rnacentral:rRNA from 1 species
GGUGAAUGCUGGCGGCGUGCCUAACACAUGCAAGUCGAGCGGUAGAGAGGUGCUUGCACCUCUUGAGAGCGGCGGACGGGUGAGUAAUGCCUAGGAAUCUGCCUGGUAGUGGGGGAUAACGCUCGGAAACGGACGCUAAUACCGCAUACGUCCUACGGGAGAAAGCAGGGGACCUUCGGGCCUUGCGCUAUCAGACGAGCCUAGGUCGGAUUAGCUAGGUGGUGAGGUAAUGGCUAACCAAGGCGACGAUCCGUAACUGGUCUGAGAGGAUGCUGCAUCACACUAGAGCUGAGACACGGUCCAGACUCCUACGGGAGGCAGCAGUGGGGAAUAUUGGACAAUGGGCGAAAGCCUGAUCCAGCCAUGCCGCGUGUGUGAAGAAGGUCUUCGGAUUGUAAAGCACUUUAAGUUGGGAGGAAGGGUCGUUACCUAAUACGUGACGAUUUUGACGUUACCGACAGAAUAAGCACCGGCUAACUCUGUGCCAGCAGCCGCCGUAA